rnacentral:lncRNA from 1 species
AUUCAGGGGCCACAGCCUACCAGAAACUUUUUGCAGUCUUGAGGACUGUAASACACCAUUAACUGGGCUUCUCGAUUUGAAAAUAAAUAUUCAAGCAAACAAGACGAUUUUAUUUAAUGAAAAACAUCCACAGUGCGGGAACACAAUAACUUUUUAAUGAAGGUCUGAAUAAAGCAGCAUGCAACAAUGUAUUUCACGGGCUGCCAUGGUGGCAACCUUGUAAGACUCAAGCUCCCUGCGACUUCUGGCACUGCGUGCAAGCAUGCAAUUUCAGCGCUGAGUGCAUUGGCAAAAUGAACAACCCUCCCCAGAGGAAGGCACCCCAUAACCCAGAUGUUCCCUACUUUAAAAUAACGGCAUAGUAAGUAAUAGAAAAGUAGAGUUUAACCCUUGCCUCCCUAAAGCGCUUAGCAUAAGGAGGAAAGCAGGGGCCUGGGGGGAGGAGAGGAGCCGGCUGCGCGGGCAGAGCAGCCGUGCCCGCAGCCUGCCCUCUCCACGGGGAGAGCCCGGCGGAGGGCGAAGGACCCCCCCGCCGCCGCCGCCUCCUCCUCCCCCCCGGCGGAGGGAGGCGAGCCGCGGCGCACGUCUCCGUGUGCGGGGCGCGCAGGGAGGCGCGGGCAGAUGUGCCCAUGGAGGUGAAGCACUGCAAUGUGAAGCUCAGAGUUGGCCUUGAGCGGUGAGAGGUGGGUCCCUCCUGAAGUGGGAUGGGGGGGUGUGCCCGGGAAUCCCUUAGCUGUAAAGUCUUCCAGAUCUCAUUCAUUCAUGUUGUUUCCUCUCUAAGGAGCUGCAGUCACACCCAGGGCUGGGCCUGAUCCAGGAGGUGAAUAUGCCAGCGGGUGCUGUGAACGGGACACAACGCACAUCACACUUUGGUAUCCCCGGGAAGCGCUCCUGAGCUCCUCCAGCACGGUGGUGGCCAAAGCUUGACAAAGCUGAGAUUUCUGUAACAUCCUCCUCAAAAUGAAAUUCCUCCCUAUCUAGAGCCAUCAUGUUUCUUGUGUCUGACUUGUUUGAUUUUCAGACUAGCGUGAAGAGAAAUGCAAUGGUUUGACUCAGAGGAGGAAGGACAUAAACCCUGGCCAUAAACCCU